rnacentral:rRNA from 1 species
UACGAAGGGGGCGAGCGUUGUUCGGAUUUACUGGGCGUAAAGGGCGCGCAGGCGGUUCUGUUUGUCGAGUGUGAAAGCCCCGGGCUCAACCUGGGAACUGCGCUCGAAACGGCGGAACUAGAGUUCGGGGAGAGGAGAGUGGAAUUCCCAGUGUAGAGGUGAAAUUCGUAGAUAUUGGGAAGAACACCGGUGGCGAAGGCGGCUCUCUGGACCGAUACUGACGCUGAGGCGCGAAAGCGUGGGGAGCAAACAGGG